rnacentral:rRNA from 2 species
GCACCUUGACGGUACCUAACCAGAAAGCCACGGCUAACUACGUGCCAGCAGCCGCGGUAAUACGUAGGUGGCAAGCGUUGUCCGGAAUUAUUGGGCGUAAAGGGCUCGCAGGCGGUUUCUUAAGUCUGAUGUGAAAGCCCCCGGCUCAACCGGGGAGGGUCAUUGGAAACUGGGGAACUUGAGUGCAGAAGAGGAGAGUGGAAUUCCACGUGUAGCGGUGAAAUGCGUAGAGAUGUGGAGGAACACCAGUGGCGAAGGCGACUCUCUGGUCUGUAACUGACGCUGAGGAGCGAAAGCGUGGGGAGCGAACAGGAUUAGAUACCCUGGUAGUCCACGCCGUAAACGAUGAGUGCUAAGUGUUAGGGGGUUUCCGCCCCUUAGUGCUGCAGCUAACGCAUUAAGCACUCCGCCUGGGGAGUACGGUCGCAAGACUGAAACUCAAAGGAAUUGACGGGGGCCCGCACAAGCGGUGGAGCAUGUGGUUUAAUUCGAAGCAACGCGAAGAACCUUACCAGGUCUUGACAUCCUCUGACAAUCCUAGAGAUAGGACGUCCC